rnacentral:tRNA from 1 species
GGCGCUGUAGCUCAGUUGGCUAGAGCUAUCGGUUCAUACCCGAUCGGUCACCGGUUCGAGUCCAGUCAGCGCCACCA